AGGAGCGAGGCAGGAGAAGCAUUGGUUGGCUGGGUACGCCGCAUCCAGCUUUCCUUCUCUCCGUCCGCGGGAUAGUCGCGAGUCAUCGCUACCAGCGAGCGCGAGUUGGAGAUCAUCGGCUUUCGCGGCAGCGACUUCUACGGACGAACCAACCGUCUCCGAUUUGGAGUCCUGCUCAGGAUAACUAGAAUGGCAUGUGAUAUGCUUCAAGUUGUUAACAAUGAAAAGUAAUCAUGGAAAGUCAAGGUAAUUAGACUUUUCGUUGCCAUAAAUCCCAACAGCAACGAGCUUAUUAGCCUCGACAACUUAUUGAUGAGGAGAACACCAUGAUGCAUGCUAUUGUAAAGAAAUUUCAGGUCAGAAGGAUCAGUGCACAUGAUAUCAAAUUUCAAGGUUUCUUCAGUAGCACAAUAUAUUUCAGUUCACAAUGACAAAAUUCUCAACUUCUUAAAUACUACCAAAUAUAUGUAUAAUUGUAAGAGUUUCGCUAUUGAUGCAAUAAGGUUGUAAAACUUCUUUAUUAUCUAUAUAUGUAACCCAUACCAAUA